ACGCUCGACACCUACGGGAGGCAGCAGUUGGGAAUAUUGGACAAUGGAGGAAACGUCUGAUCCAGUGACGCCGCGUGAAGGAAGAAGGUCUUCGGAUUGUAAACUUAUUUUGUCAGGGAAGAAAAAUGACUGUACCUGAAGAAAAGCACCGGCUAACUACGUGCUAGCAGCCGCGGUAAUCUGAGCGGGCUGGCAAGGC
rnacentral:rRNA from 1 species